AGGUGGGGAAAAGAAGUUGUUUCCGGUAGAGCUCGGCUUUGACAGCGUUGCGUUCACGCGCUACUUCUUUUGACGGAUUCUUUCGUUUAAGAACAUUUUAUUUUGUCUCGGUCGUUAAAGAGACGGUAGAAAUAACGCAGAGGUGGUAUUCAGACGUUAUUAGAAAGUUUAAGGACGAUAGCCAGACGACUUUGAAGGAGGAGAAGAAGGACCGUGUUUAGUUUUAGAGAGAAGCUUCAUGAACAGGUGUCGAGCAGACAUCGCCCUCUCCCUCCGCCUUUUCUCGAACGUCGAAAUAGGACACUUGACACUUUGGUUGGGCCAACCCAUGCCGGGUUUCAAGAAUUGGAUAUGGAUAUUGUUGCGCUGCACACGAAUGGCCUCAAUGCUGAACAACGUUCAGUGACACCGGGCUGCUGACCGAGUUGGCACAAAGUGGAGGACAUUGGCUGAUAUGUGAUGUGAAGUCACGAUCAAGAAAAAAGGACAACCAGUAGAUUCCUGCAGACUGAUGUUACAUCCAUUACGUGCAGUUUUUGGGUCCUGAUCAGAUCGGAGUGGUACAAAAGUUGGAGUGAAAAGUUCCAGACCGUCUUGGAGCGCUUGCCCAGAACUAAUGACGAGUGAUGAUGCAGUCAUAGACUCCUCCCUUUCUGCGAGUAUUGUGAAAUAUGAAGAUACAUUCAGGGGAUUCCUGCUGAAUUUGUGUGUUAAUGUUCGUGUUGGUGUUUCAUCUCUGAUACAGAGCAGGUUGUUUUCAUGGAUCCUGUUAAAAGGGAAGAUUUUCUCCUGAAUGACAACAUUUUGAUCUCUCAAAAAUGUAUUUCACAUAAUAUUCCUGUAAAUAAUAAUCACCCGAGUAUUUCUAAGCACAAUCACUGUGCCAUCAUUUGAAAACACUGCCACUGUUUUAACAUAAACAUCUCAUUUCCUGUUGGAUUUAUUUAAACACUGACUGAAAUCAUACAUUGAGAUUUUUGACAUUGAUAGACCUCAAUUACCCUAAUUCACACAUUAAUCAAAAAGACAUUAGAUGAAAAAUUAAAUAUGAUAAAUAAACAAAAAAUUCAAAUGUGGGUUUCUGACACUGUUGCAGUACAGAGAGGGACAGUCCUGAGAGUGAGGAGGAAGACGAGCUGUGAGGGAGAGGAAGAGGGACAACCAGCGGUGUUGAACAGACCUGUGUGUCUACAUACAAAGAUGAUCCACCAGUGCUGCCCAGUUUGAGGACAUUUCCAGUCACAUUAAUGGAGGACAGGAGACGCAGCUUCCAUCAAAACUGAGUUUCUACCAGAGCCAAAUGUCAUCGACUCCUCACUGAAGUCGUCCACCAGUCCAACCACUGG